CUUCUAUAUAAGCUCUCCCUUCCAUCCUAGGAUCAAGGAGCUAACCUCUCAGAUCACCCAAACCCCAGCCUUGGGUAUGAGAUACCCAGCAAAACUGCCUUCUUAGCUUGCUGGGUAUCUCACACAUUUUCUGCAAGUCAGUGAGAGGAAAUCACUUAUGGUAGGGUAUCCUGAGUAUGGCGGGAGAGCAGGGAAGGAACCCCCAGAUUCCAUUCCCUCUGUUUGUCUGCUGGUGACAGCACAUAAGCAUGCCCUGGACACCC
rnacentral:lncRNA from 1 species